rnacentral:tRNA from 1 species
GCUAUAGCCAAGCGGUAAGGCAACGGACUCUGACUCCGUCAUUUCGUAGGUUCGAAUCCUACUAGC